rnacentral:rRNA from 1 species
AUUGAACGCUAGCGGCAUGCCUCACACAUGCAAGUCGAACGAGCAGCGGGCGGGUAAGUUAUGUGUGGGGACUGCCCGAUGGAGGGGGAUAACUGCUGGAAACGGUAACUAAUACCGCAUCCUAUCGGCUAACCCCUAUGGGAUUAGCUAGUGGGUGAGGUACUGGCUCACCUCGGCGACGAUCCCUAGCUGGUUUGAGAGGAUGAUCAGCCACAUGGGGACUGAGACACGGCCCAGACUCCUACGGAGGCAGCAGUGGGGAAUAUGGCACAAUGGGCGCAAGCCUGAUGCAGCCAUGCCGCGUGUAGGAAGAAGGCCUUAGGGUUGUAAAGUACUUUCAGCAGGGAGGCGUUACCGACAGAAGAAGCACCGGCUAACUCCGUGCCAGCAGCCGCGGUAAUAC